AACCCCCAGCUAGGCUGGGGGUUCCGGAAAGGUUUCAGCUUUAAGCCAGUUAUUAAAACCC
rnacentral:sRNA from 1 species